UACAUAAAUACUAAUGCAAUAAAAUCUAUGUCAUACCAAGCACAUAUACUUGUAAAUAAUAAUAUCAAUAAGGUAUUUAAAUCCAUACAUUAUUAUAAAUAAGAGAAAAAAUGUCUGCAUUAUUUUUACAUCUCAGAUUCCCAUUAAUGUAACUUUCCCACCCUCUGGGAUAUGAAAAUACUUAUCCAGAUACAUGGGAAAGUUGUGCUGGGACCUACAAGUUCAAGAAUGUAACUUUCUUGGGAUUUCAGCUUUCCUACACAAAAUGAACAUGGGAAAGUUACAUUCUUAUAUCGCUUCCCUAUGCAAUUUUGGCAACCACGCUCAGAAAGGAAAAAAAAAAAAAA
rnacentral:misc_RNA from 1 species